rnacentral:rRNA from 1 species
AGUGAACGCUGGCGGUAGGCCUAACACAUGCAAGUCGAACGGCAGCACAGUAAGAGCUUGCUCUUACGGGUGGCGAGUGGCGGACGGGUGAGGAAUACAUCGGAAUCUACUUUUUCGUGGGGGAUAACGUAGGGAAACUUACGCUAAUACCGCAUACAACCUACGGGUGAAAGCAGGGGAUCUUCGGACCUUGCGCGAUUGAAUGAGCCGAUGUCGGAUUAGCUAGUUGGCGGGGUAAAGGCCCACCAAGGCGACGACCCGUAGCUGGUCUGAGAGGAUGAUCAGCCACACUGGAACUGAGACACGGUCCAGACUCCUACGGGAGGCAGCAGUGGGGAAUAUUGGACAAUGGGCGCAAGCCUGAUCCAGCCAUACCGCGUGGGUGAAGAAGGCCUUCGGGUUGUAAAGCCCCUUUGUUGGGAAAGAAAAGCAGCAGGUUAAUACCCCGCUGUUCUGACGGUACCCAAAGAAUAAGCACCGGCUAACUUCGUG